rnacentral:rRNA from 1 species
CAGCCGCCGCGGUAAUACGUAGGUGGCAAGCGUUGUCCGGAAUUAUUGGGCGUAAAGCGCGCGCAGGUGGUUUAAUAAGUCUGAUGUGAAAGCCCGCGGCUCAACCGUGGAGGGUCAUUGGAAACUGUUAAACUUGAGUGCAGGAGAGAAAAGUGGAAUUCCUAGUGUAGCGGUGAAAUGCGUAGAGAUUAGGAGGAACACCAGUGGCGGAGGCGGCUUUUUGGCCUGUAACUGACACUGAGGCGCGAAAGCGUGGGGAGCAAACAGGAUUAGAUACCCCCGUAGUCCCUGUCUCUUAUAA